UCAAGUUAUUAAGGGUGCAGGGCGGAUGCCUUGGCACUAGGAGCCGAUGAAGGACGUGAUAAGCUGCGAUAAGCUUCGGGGAGUUGCACGUAAACUUUGAUCCGAAGAUUUCCGAAUGAGGAAACUCACUUAGAGUAAUGUCUAAGUAUCAUUAAGUGAAUAUAUAGCUUAAUGAGGGGAACUCAGGGAACUGAAACAUCUAAGUACCUGAAGGAAGAGAAAGAAAUUCGAUUCCGUAAGUAGCGGCGAGCGAACGCGGAUUAGCCCAAACCAAUAAAGUUUUCUUUAUUGGGGUUGCGGACAUAUCAUAACGAAGAGGUAUCGUAAUUGAAGAGGUUUGGAAAGACCCACCACAGAAGGUAAUAGUCCUGUAUGUUAAACGAGAAGACUUUAGAUAUGAUCCAGAGUACCACGGGACACGUGAAACCCUGUGGGAAGCAGGAGGGACCACCCUCCAAGGCUAAAUACUACCUAGUGACCGAUAGCGUAUAGUACCGUGAGGGAAAGGUGAAAAGAACCCCGGGAGGGGAGUGAAAUAGAACCUGAAACCCUGCACUUACAAGCUGUGGAAGCACAUUUCUUGUGUGACCGCGUACUUUUUGUAGAACGGGCCAACGAGUUACGUUAAGUAGCAAGGUUAAGCACUUAAGGUGUGGAGCCGUAGCGAAAGCGAGUUUUAACUGAGCGUUCAGUUACUUGACGUAGACCCGAAACCGGGCGACCUACCCAUGAGCAGGAUGAAGCGAAAGUAAAAUUUCGUGGAGGUCCGAACCCACGAGCGUUGAAAAGCUCGGGGAUGACUUGUGGGUAGCGGUGAAAUUCCAAUCGAGCCCGGAGAUAGCUGGUUCUCCCCGAAAUAGCUUUAGGGCUAGCCUCAAGGUGAGAGAUACGGAGGUAGAGCACUGAAUGUCCUAGGGGGUAUUGCACCUACCGAAGACUAUCAAACUCCGAAUGCCGUCAUCUUAUACUUGGGAGUCAGACUGUGGGUGAUAAGAUUCAUAGUCGAAAGGGCAACAGCCCAGAUCGUCAGCUAAGGUCCCUAAAUGUAAGUUAAGUGGUAAAGGAUGUGGGAUUGCACAGACAACCAGGAUGUUGGCUUAGAAGCAGCCACUCAUUCAAAGAGUGCGUAAUAGCUCACUGGUCGAGUGAUCCUGCGCCGAAGAUUUCCGGGGCUAAAACUUACUACCGAAGCUACGGCAUCAGUAAUGAUGGGUAGGGGAGCUUCCCAUACGGGUUGAAGCAUGACCGUAAGGACAUGUGGACAGUAUGGGAGUGAGAAUGUUGGCAUGAGUAGCGAGAUGUGGGUGAGAAUCCCACAGGCCGUAAACCCAAGGUUUCCAGGGGAAGGUUCGUCCGCCCUGGGUUAGUCGGGACCUAAGCUGAGGCCGAAAGGCGUAGGUGAUGGACAACAGGUUGAUAUUCCUGUACUACCGAUAACCGUUUGAGAGAAGGGAUGACACAGUAGGAUAAGCUAAGCACACUGUUGGUUAUGUGUGCCCAAGCAUUGAGGCAGUCAAAGUAGGCAAAUCCGCUUUGAUAAUGCUGGGAUGUGAUGGGGAGCGAAAUUUAGUAGCGAAGUAGCUGAUUUCACACUGUCAAGAAAAGUCUCUAUCGAGGUUAAAGGUACCCGUACCGCAAACCGACACAGGUGGGUGAGGAGAGUAUCCUAAGGCCAGCGAGAGAACUGUUGUUAAGGAACUCGGCAAAAUGACCCCGUAACUUAGGGAUAAGGGGUGCCACCAUCAGGUGGCCGCAGAGAAUAGGCCCAAGCGACUGUUUACCAAAAACAUAGGUUUCUGCUAAGUCGCAAGACGAUGUAUAGGAGCUGACGCCUGCCCGGUGCUGGAAGGUUAAGGGAAUCUGUUAGAGCAAUCGAAGCAGUGAACUUAAGCCCCAGUAAACGGCGGCCGUAACUAUAACGGUCCUAAGGUAGCGAAAUUCCUUGUCGGGUAAGUUCCGACCCGCACGAAAGGCGUAACGAUUUGGGCACUGUCUCAACAACAGACUCGGUGAAAUUGUAAUUCCGGUGAAGAUGCCGGAUACCUGCGACAGGACGGAAAGACCCCAUGGAGCUUUACUGUAGCUUGACAUUGGGUCUUGGUACUACAUGUACAGGAUAGGUGGGAGGCUUUGAAACCAGGACGCCAGUUUUGGCGGAGCCAUCCUUGGGAUACCACCCUUGUAGUACUGGGACUCUAACCAUAGGCCAUGAAUCUGGUCUUGGGACACUGUCAGGUGGGCAGUUUGACUGGGGCGGUCGCCUCCCAAAAGGUAACGGAGGCGCUCAAAGGUUCUCUCAGUACGGUCGGAAAUCGUACGUAGAGUGUAAAGGCAAAAGAGAGCUUGAUUGCAAGACAUACAGGUCGAGCAAGGAUGAAAAUCGGACUUAGUGAUCCGGUGGUUCUGCGUGGAAGGGCCAUCGCUCAACGGAUAAAAGCUACCCUGGGGAUAACAGGCUUAUCUCCCCCAAGAGUCCACAUCGACGGGGAGGUUUGGCACCUCGAUGUCGGCUCAUCACAUCCUGGGGCUGUAGUAGGUCCCAAGGGUUGGGCUGUUCGCCCAUUAAAGUGGUACGCGAGCUGGGUUCAGAACGUCGUGAGACAGUUCGGUCCCUAUCCGUCGCAGGCGUAGGAAAUUUGAGAAGACCUGUCCUUAGUACGAGAGGACCGGGAUGGACGUACCUCUGGUGUACCAGUUGUCCUGCCAAGGGCAUGGCUGGGUAGCUAUGUACGGAAUGGAUAAGCGCUGAAAGCAUCUAAGCGCGAAGCCAACUUCAAGAUAAGAUUUCCCACCGCAAGGGUAAGACCCCAGAAAGACUAUCUGGUUGAUAGGUCGAAGGUGUAAGUGCAGCAAUGUAUUUAGCUUAUCGAUACUAAUAGGUCGAGGACUUGACCAA
rnacentral:rRNA from 1 species